UUUCUGUAGGUGAACCUGCGGAAGGAUCAUUAUUGUAUAACCGAGGUGCGAGGGCUGUCGCUGACCCGAAAGGUCGUGCACGCCCGAGUGCCCUCACACACAUCCAUCUCACCCCUAUGUGCACCACCGCGUGGGUCCCCCUUUGGCUUGUUCGGAGGGGGGCUUACGUUUUCACACAAACUUUGUAUGCAGUGUAGAAUGUAUUUUUUGUUUUUGCGAUCACGCAAUCAAUACAACUUUCAACAACGGAUCUCUUGGCUCUU
rnacentral:misc_RNA from 1 species